CUUAGAGUUUGAUCCUGGCUCAGGAUGAACGCUGGCGGUAUGCUUAACACAUGCAAGUCGAACGGUGUCUUCGGACAUAGUGGCGGACGGGUGAGUAACGCGUGAGAAUCUAGCUUCAGGUCUGGGACAACCACUGGAAACGGUGGCUAAUACCGGAUGUGCCGGAAGGUGAAAGGCUUGCUGCCUGAAGAUGAGCCCGCGUCCGAUUAGCUAGUAGGUGGGGUAAGAGCCUACCUAGGCGACGAUCGGUAGCUGGUCUGAGAGGAUGACCAGCCACACUGGGACUGAGACACGGCCCAGACUCCUACGGGAGGCAGCAGUGGGGAAUUUUCCGCAAUGGGCGAAAGCCUGACGGAGCAAUACCGCGUGAGGGAGGAAGGCUCUUGGGUUGUAAACCUCUUUUCUCAGGGAAGAACACAAUGACGGUACCUGAGGAAUCAGCAUCGGCUAACUCCGUGCCAGCAGCCGCGGUAAUACGGAGGAUGCAAGCGUUAUCCGGAAUGAUUGGGCGUAAAGCGUCCGCAGGUGACUGUGUAAGUCUGCUGUCAAAGAGCAAAGCUCAACUUUGUAAAGGCAGUGGAAACUACACGGCUAGAGUGCGUUCGGGGCAGAGGGAAUUCCUGGUGUAGCGGUGAAAUGCGUAGAGAUCAGGAAGAACACCGGUGGCGAAGGCGCUCUGCUAGGCCGCAACUGACACUGAGGGACGAAAGCUAGGGGAGCGAAUGGGAUUAGAUACCCCAGUAGUCCUAGCUGUAAACGAUGG
rnacentral:rRNA from 1 species